GCCUCAUAGACUGGGACAACUAUUGGAAACGAUAGCUAAUACCGGAUAACAGCAUUAACUGCAUGGUUGAUGUUUAAAAGUUGGUUUUUGCUAACACUAUGAGAUGGCUUUGCGGUGCAUUAGCUAGUUGGUGGGGGUAAAGGGCCUACCAAGGCGACGAUGCAUAGCCGACCUGAGAGGGUGAUCGGCCACACUGGGACUGAGACACGGCCCAGACUCCUACGGGAGGCAGCAGGG
rnacentral:rRNA from 1 species